rnacentral:rRNA from 1 species
GACGAACGCUGGCGGCGUGCUUAACACAUGCAAGUCGAACGGAAAGGCCCUGCUUUUGUGGGGUGCUCGAGUGGCGAACGGGUGAGUAACACGUGAGUAACCUGCCCUUGACUUUGGGAUAACUUCAGGAAACUGGGGCUAAUACCGGAUAGGAGCUCCCGCUGCAUGGUGGGGGUUGGAAAGUUUCGGCGGUUGGGGAUGGACUCGCGGCUUAUCAGCUUGUUGGUGGGGUAGUGGCUUACCAAGGCUUUGACGGUUAGCCGGCCUGAGAGGGUGACCGGCCACAUUGGGACUGAGAUACGUCCCAGACUCCUACGGGGGGCAGCAGUGGGGAAUAUUGCACAAUGGGCGGAAGCCUGAUGCUGCAACGCCGCGUGCGGGAUGACGGCCUUCGGGUUGUAAACCGCUUUCGCCUGUGACGAAGCGUGAGUGACGGUAAUGGGUAAAGAAGCACCGGCUAACUACGUG